AGCUGAUCUGAAGGUGGUGCGUUAUCUUGAUUGACCGUUCAGUCCGAGCAGAUCAAACUCCUUGUUCUACUCCUUCCUCCUUCUCACGACUACACUUGACAAGUCUUAA
ensembl:misc_RNA Y_RNA Y RNA